GACGUAGGGCGCGAGCGUUGUCCGGAUUUAUUGGGCGUAAAGAGCUCGUAGGCGGUUUGUUGCGUCGGCUGUGAAAUCCCGAGGCUCAACCUCGGGUCUGCAGUCGAUACGAGCAAACUAGAGUGUUGCAGGGGAGACUGGAAUUCCUGGUGUAGCGGUAGAAAUGCGCAGAUAUCAGGAGGAACACCGGUGGCGAAGGCGGGUCUCUGGGCAACAACUGACGCUGAGGAGCGAAAGCGUGGGGAGCGAACAGG
rnacentral:rRNA from 1 species